ensembl:lncRNA
CCGCCCACACAUACACAUCACUUCCUGCUGUCGCGACGGCAACAAGGAAAUAAUCAGACAGGCCUAAACAGGAUGAAACCUGCAGUCACAGAAGCGUACGAGAAACAAAUCUUUUAAUCUGUUUUAUAGAUGGUUUCAUCGGGCGCACGCGCCUGGUCUGAAGUUAACUUCCGGUUUGUGUCUGUUUAACGGUCUGCUAUGAUGCUGUCUACAAA